rnacentral:rRNA from 1 species
CUUUUACAAUGAAGAGUUUGAUCCUGGCUCAGGAUGAACGCUAGCUACAGGCUUAACACAUGCAAGUCGAGGGGCAGCAUUUUAGUUUGCUUGCAAACUGAAGAUGGCGACCGGCGCACGGGUGAGUAACACGUAUCCAACCUGCCGAUAACUCCGGAAUAGCCUUUCGAAAGAAAGAUUAAUACCGGAUAGCAUACGAAUAUCGCAUGAUAUUUUUAUUAAAGAAUUUCGGUUAUCGAUGGGGAUGCGUUCCAUUAGUUUGUUGGCGGGGUAACGGCCCACCAAGACUACGAUGGAUAGGGGUUCUGAGAGGAAGGUCCCCCACAUUGGAACUGAGACACGGUCCAAACUCCUACGGGAGGCAGCAGUGAGGAAUAUUGGUCAAUGGGCGAGAGCCUGAACCAGCCAAGUAGCGUGAAGGAUGAAGGCUCUAUGGGUCGUAAACUUCUUUUAUAUGGGAAUAAAGUUUUCCACGUGUGGAAUUUUGUAUGUACCAUAUGAAUAAGGAUCGGCUAACUCCGUGCCAGCAGCCGCGGUAAUACGGAGGAUCCGAGCGUUAUCCGGAUUUAUUGGGUUUAAAGGGAGCGUAGGUGGAUUGUUAAGUCAGUUGUGAAAGUUUGCGGCUCAACCGUAAAAUUGCAGUUGAAACUGGCAGUCUUGAGUACAGUAGAGGUGGGCGGAAUUCGUGGUGUAGCGGUGAAAUGCUUAGAUAUCACGAAGAACUCCGAUUGCGAAGGCAGCUCACUAGACUGUUACUGACACUGAUGCUCGAAAGUGUGGGUAUCAAACAGGAUUAGAUACCCUGGUAGUCCACACAGUAAACGAUGAAUACUCGCUGUUUGCGAUAUACAGUAAGCGGCCAAGCGAAAGCAUUAAGUAUUCCACCUGGGGAGUACGCCGGCAACGGUGAAACUCAAAGGAAUUGACGGGGGCCCGCACAAGCGGAGGAACAUGUGGUUUAAUUCGAUGAUACGCGAGGAACCUUACCCGGGCUUAAAUUGCAACAGAAUAUAUUGGAAACAGUAUAGCCGUAAGGCUGUUGUGAAGGUGCUGCAUGGUUGUCGUCAGCUCGUGCCGUGAGGUGUCGGCUUAAGUGCCAUAACGAGCGCAACCCUUAUCUUUAGUUACUAACAGGUUAUGCUGAGGACUCUAGAGAGACUGCCGUCGUAAGAUGUGAGGAAGGUGGGGAUGACGUCAAAUCAGCACGGCCCUUACGUCCGGGGCUACACACGUGUUACAAUGGGGGGUACAGAAGGCGGCUACCUGGUGACAGGAUGCUAAUCCCAAAAACCUCUCUCAGUUCGGAUCGAAGUCUGCAACCCGACUUCGUGAAGCUGGAUUCGCUAGUAAUCGCGCAUCAGCCAUGGCGCGGUGAAUACGUUCCCGGGCCUUGUACACACCGCCCGUCAAGCCAUGAAAGCCGGGGGUACCUGAAGUACGUAACCGCAAGGAGCGUCCUAGGGUAAAACUGGUAAUUGGGGCUAAGUCGUAACAAGGUAGCCGUACCGGAAGGUGCGGCUGGAACACCUCCUUUCUGGAGC